rnacentral:tRNA from 1 species
CAGAAAAUAGUUUAGUUUAGAAUACUAGCUUUGGGGGUUAGUGGUGAAAGUUGAAAUCUUUCUUUUCUGG